GAUGAACGCUGGCGGCGUGCCUAACACAUGCAAGUCGAACGAUGAAACCGCCCUCGGGCGGACAUGAAGUGGCGAACGGGUGAGUAACACGUGACCAACCUGCCCCUUGCUCCGGGACAACCUUGGGAAACCGAGGCUAAUACCGGAUACUCCUCGCCCCCCUCCUGGGGGGCCCGGGAAAGCCCAGACGGCAAGGGAUGGGGUCGCGGCCCAUUAGGUAGUAGGCGGGGUAACGGCCCACCUAGCCCGCGAUGGGUAGCCGGGUUGAGAGACCGACCGGCCUCAUUGGGACUGAGAUACGGCCCAGACUCCUACGGGAGGCAGCAGUGGGGAAUUUUGCGCAAUGGGGGCAACCCUGACGCAGCAACGCCGCGUGCGGGACGACGGCCUUCGGGUUGUAAACCGCUUUCAGCAGGGAAGAAAUUCGACGGUAC
rnacentral:rRNA from 1 species